GAUGAACGCUGGCGGCGUGCCUAACACAUGCAAGUCGAACGAACGGACGUGAAUCUUGGUUUUCUGGUGUGAGCGACGGACGGGUGAGUCACACGUGAAUAACCUACCUAUAAGGCUGGAAUAACGGCGGGAAACGGGAGUAACGACCGGGUAAUAUUUUUAACUGCAGGGGGCAGGAGUGAAACGCGGGCUGGGGGUGGCUUAGCGGCGGAUCCGCGCUGCAGUGGCUAGUUGGUAAGGUAACGGCUUACCAAGGCAACGAUGGCUUGCCGACCCGAGGGGGUGUUGCGCCACAGUGGGACUGAGCGACGGUCCAGACUCCUACGGGAGGCAGCAGUAGGGACUCUUCCGCGCUGGGCGGAAUCCUGCAGGAGCAGUGCCGGCUGAGUGAUGAAGCUCUUCGGGCCGUAAAACUCUGUUAUUGGUGAAGACCACUUGUGUACGUAACUGUGCAUUGUUUGACGGUACUUAAUAAGAAAGCCACGGCUAACUACGUG
rnacentral:rRNA from 1 species